rnacentral:rRNA from 1 species
AUGGUACGCUCCUCGUCUUGGGUGCCACCUAGUACGGGAAAUGCGAAACUAAAUGUGGAUGCUGCGGUGUCCAGCGCUGGAUUUGGGACUGUGGGUGCAAUAUGCAGAGAUGACAGCGGCCUAUUCUUGGGGGCUUCGAUUCUUUGUUUUAAUCACAUCAUUGAUCCGACUACUUUGGAAGCGUUGGCUAUAAGAGAAGCCCUAGCAUUGGCGGAUGAUAUGUACAAGAGGAGGAUUGAAGUUGCAUCAGACUGCAAAGUGGUGGUGCAAGAUUCACAGCUGGAUAGCUCGGCUAGCUACGGUGUAAUUGUACAUGAAAUAAUAGACCACUCUGCGCUUUUUGAUUUUUACAGUUUUAGUCAUGAAUUUAGGAGGUCCAAUCAUGAAGCUCACAACUUAGCGAAGCAUACUUUUUUUCUCGGUGGUGGCCGCCAUGUGUGGUUAGGGCAUCCCGAAAAUUUACCAUCCGUCCCUGUAAACAUCGUGACGAAUUAA